rnacentral:rRNA from 1 species
AUGAACGCUAGUGAUAGGUUUGAUACAUGUGAGUUUAAUGUUACAAUGAACUUUAGAUUCAUAAGGUAAAAUGGCGUAUUGGCGAGUAAUACAUAAGAAAACUACCCCACAAAAAUUGGUAAAACCGUUUAAAAAACAGAGUUGGUGUGGGACGUGCUUGUGCAGAAUUAGGUAGUUGGUAAAGUAAUGGUUUACCAAGCCGAGGAUUCUUAGCUAGUCUGAGAGGACGGUUAGCCGCAAUGGAACUGAAACACAGACCAUAGUUUUUUAAUUCAGCAGUACGGAAUAUUGGACAAUGAGCUAAAGGCUUGAUCCAGCUAUAUCACGUAGAGGAAGAAGGCACAUUGUUUGUUGUAAACUUUAAUACUUGGUAGGAAAAUUGAUGUAUACCAGGGAAAAGUCCUGGCGAACUCCGU